GCCGAACUGAUCCUGGCUGGUGCUGGGUGCGGGCUUCAAACCCGUAGCGGCCGGGAGGCCGAGUGGUUCGAUUCCACCUGAUCGGCG